rnacentral:rRNA from 1 species
CACUCCUACGGGAGGCAGCAGUGGGGAAUAUUGCACAAUGGGGGAAACCCUGAUGCAGCCAUGCCGCGUGUGUGAAGAAGGCCUUCGGGUUGUAAAGCACUUUCAGUAGGGAGGAAGGUAGUGUAGUUAACACCUGCACUAUUUGACGUUACCUACAGAAGAAGCACCGGCUAACUCCGUGCCAGCAGCCGCGGUAAUACGGAGGGUGCGAGCGUUAAUCGGAAUUACUGGGCGUAAAGCGCAUGCAGGCGGCCUGUUAAGUCAGAUGUGAAAGCCCGGGGCUUAACCUCGGAAUUGCAUUUGAAACUGGCAGGCUAGAGUACUGUAGAGGGGGUAGAAUUUCAGGUGUAGCGGUGAAAUGCGUAGAGAUCUGAAGGAAUACCGGUGGCGAAGGCGGCCCCCUGGACAGAUACUGACACUCAGAUGCGAAAGCGUGGGGAGCAAACAGGAUUAGAUACCCUGGUAG